UACGGGAGGCAGCAGUGGGGAAUAUUGGACAAUGGGCGAAAGCCUGAUCCAGCAAUGCCGCGUGAGUGAUGAAGGCCUUAGGGUUGUAAAGCUCUUUUACCCGGGAUGAUAAUGACAGUACCGGGAGAAUAAGCUCCGGCUAACUCCGUGCCAGCAGCCGCGGUAAUACGGAGGGAGCUAGCGUUGUUCGGAAUUACUGGGCGUAAAGCGCACGUAGGCGGCUUUGUAAGUUAGAGGUGAAAGCCUGGAGCUCAACUCCAGAAUUGCCUUUAAGACUGCNUCGCUUGAAUCCAGGAGAGGUGAGUGGAAUUCCGAGUGUAGAGGUGAAAUUCGUAGAUAUUCGGAAGAACACCAGUGGCGAAGGCGGCUCACUGGACUGGUAUUGACGCUGAGGUGCGA
rnacentral:rRNA from 1 species